UCGGGAAUUUUGGGCAAUGGGCGAAAGCCUGACCCAGCAACGCCGCGUGUGGGAUGAAGGCCCUCGGGUCGUAAACCACUGUCAGGAGGAAAGAAAAGUCGGCCGGAUAAUACUCGGUCGACCUGACGGUACCUCCAAAGGAAGCACCGGCUAACUCCGUGCCAGCAGCCGCGGUAAUACGGAGGGUGCAAGCGUUGUUCGGAAUUACUGGGCGUAAAGCGCGUGUAGGUGGUCGAGUAAGUCGAAUGUGAAAGCCCCGGGCUCAACCCGGGAAGUGCAUCCGAAACUGCUCGACUAGAGUCCCGGAGAGGAAGGCAGAAUUCCCAAUGUAGGGGUGAAAUCCGUAGAUAUUGGGAGGAAUACCGGUGGCGAAGGCGGCAUCCUGGACCAAUACUGACGCUGAGGAGCGAAAGCCAGGGGAGCAAACGGGAUUAGAUACCCGCGUAGUCCCUGAGCGGGCUGGCAAGGCGCAU
rnacentral:rRNA from 1 species